UCCAGUGUCACAUGACUCCCCCAGAGUCCUGAUAUGGCCAUCAAUCUGGUCCUGAACCUGGGAGCGUUAGACCGGCGCCACCGAACAAUCUGCAGCAGUACAGGUUUCUAAGGCGAACCACAGCUCAGAGCCACGAACAGUGAGUAAUGAUAAUGAUGCUGAUAACAGCCGUGGUUACACAUCAAUGGCAGGUAUAGGAAGGUAGUGAGUGUGUUACGUCAUUGUGGUGAUACAGAGAUGGUACAGAGCAAAUAUUGAAAAUUCUGAAUACAAUUAUAAUACUAUGGGUUAGCUAUAAAUCUGUCAGCACGACCAUAAUCGGACAGAGUAAGCAGUCCUGCUGGUACAGAAGAGAUGAGAGGGAAGAAUAGUGUUCACCCUGUCAGCUCUUCAGAGGAUCAGCUUUACCACGGUCUGCCCCUCCACACACAAGUCUCUCUCCUUGCUGAUCUGAGUGCACUGCCACCUGGUGUCCAAUCAAAGUGAAGCUCUCACGGUGCUCCUCGAGGUGCUUGGGACAAUGGCCAGUCCUUUCAUCAUCUCAGGAAUACUCUCAGGAGCUUGAAAGGAGGAUGACAACAACAUCACAGUGGCGGUGGGGACAGCAUCAGAGGCAGAGGAUGGUGUUCUGGUCAGAAUGUGGAGAAGAUAGAUGCAUUGUCCAUCAUUAUCAACCAGAGGAGCAGAAAACACUGGUGGGUAGAUGAGAGACAAUAUGAUUGAGUCAUCCUCGCUUCACACCUGUUUUUUUCCCAGUCAUAUUGAAUCAUAUGCUGAGUGCCCAAUGUUCGUUCACACACACAUAUUGGUACAUCACAAUUACUUAUUUGUUCUUAUUACAAAAGUGGACUUAAAAGCCUGUAGGUGAAUAUUGCCAUCUAAUAGCUGGAGAUUGGUUUACAGCAGAGAAAGUGCAAACAGUGCAGUCAGAUGGGGGUUACAAACUCCUCUGAGUGUAACCCGAGUAUAGUGGCCUAUUUUGGUCCUAUUCAGUGCU